AACGAACGCUGGCGGCAGGCUUAACACAUGCAAGUCGAGCGCCCCGCAAGGGGAGCGGCAGACGGGUGAGUAACGCGUGGGAAUCUACCCAUCUCUACGGAAUAACGCAUGGAAACGUGUGCUAAUACCGUAUGCGUCCUUCGGGAGAAAGAUUUAUCGGAGAUGGAUGAGCCCGCGUUGGAUUAGCUAGUUGGUGGGGUAAAGGCCUACCAAGGCGACGAUCCAUAGCUGGUCUGAGAGGAUGAUCAGCCACACUGGGACUGAGACACGGCCCAGACUCCCACGGGAGGCAGCAGUGGGGAAUAUUGGACAAUGGGCGCAAGCCUGAUCCAGCCAUGCCGCGUGAGUGAUGAAGGCCCUAGGGUUGUAAAGCUCUUUCACCGGUGAAGAUAAUGACGGUAACCGGAGAAGAAGCCCCGGCUAACUUCGUGCCAGCCGCCGCCGUAAGAC
rnacentral:rRNA from 1 species